UACAGAGGUCCCGAGCGUUGUUCGGAUUCACUGGGCGUAAAGGGUGCGUAGGUGGCAUGGUAAGUUUGAUGUGAAAGCUCAGGGCUUAACCCUGAAAUGGCAUUGAAUACUACUGUGCUGGAGGUUUGGAGGGGGGACUGGAAUUCUUGGUGUAGCAGUGAAAUGCGUAGAUAUCAAGAGGAACACCAGUGGCGAAGGCGAGUCCCUGGACAACACCUGACACUGAGGCACGAAAGCUAGGGGAGCAAUCAGG
rnacentral:rRNA from 1 species